ACACAAAAAUGCACAUAUUGUGAGCUUGAUGAGUAGGGCGGGACACGUGGUAUCCUGUCUGAAUAUGGGGGGACCAUCCUCCAAGGCUAAAUACUCCUGACUGACCGAUAGUGAACCAGUACCGUGAGGGAAAGGCGAAAAGAACCCCGGCGAGGGGAGUGAAAAAGAACCUGAAACCGUGUACGUACAAGCAGUGGGAGCACGCUUAGGCGUGUGACUGCGUACCUUUUGUAUAAUGGGUCAGCGACUUAUAUUCUGUAGCAAGGUUAACCGAAUAGGGGAGCCGAAGGGAAACCGAGUCUUAACUGGGCGUUAAGUUGCAGGGUAUAGACCCGAAACCCGGUGAUCUAGCCAUGGGCAGGUUGAAGGUUGGGUAACACUAACUGGAGGACCGAACCGACUAAUGUUGAAAAAUUAGCGGAUGACUUGUGGCUGGGGGUGAAAGGCCAAUCAAACCGGGAGAUAGCUGGUUCUCCCCGAAAGCUAUUUAGGUAGCGCCUCGUGAAUUCAUCUCCGGGGGUAGAGCACUGUUUCGGCAAGGGGGUCAUCCCGACUUACCAACCCGAUGCAAACUGCGAAUACCGGAGAAUGUUAUCACGGGAGACACACGGCGGGUGCUAACGUCCGUCGUGAAGAGGGAAACAACCCAGACCGCCAGCUAAGGUCCCAAAGUCAUGGUUAAGUGGGAAACGAUGUGGGAAGGCCCAGACAGCCAGGAUGUUGGCUUAGAAGCAGCCAUCAUUUAAAGAAAGCGUAAUAGCUCACUGGUCGAGUCGGCCUGCGCGGAAGAUGUAACGGGGCUAAACCAUGCACCGAAGCUGCGGCAGCGACGCUUAUGCGUUGUUGGGUAGGGGAGCGUUCUGUAAGCCUGCGAAGGUGUGCUGUGAGGCAUGCUGGAGGUAUCAGAAGUGCGAAUGCUGACAUAAGUAACGAUAAAGCGGGUGAAAAGCCCGCUCGCCGGAAGACCAAGGGUUCCUGUCCAACGUUAAUCGGGGCAGGGUGAGUCGACCCCUAAGGCGAGGCCGAAAGGCGUAGUCGAUGGGAAACAGGUUAAUAUUCCUGUACUUGGUGUUACUGCGAAGGGGGGACGGAGAAGGCUAUGUUGGCCGGGCGACGGUUGUCCCGGUUUAAGCGUGUAGGCUGGUUUUCCAGGCAAAUCCGGAAAAUCAAGGCUGAGGCGUGAUGACGAGGCACUACGGUGCUGAAGCAACAAAUGCCCUGCUUCCAGGAAAAGCCUCUAAGCAUCAGGUAACAUCAAAUCGUACCCCAAACCGACACAGGUGGUCAGGUAGAGAAUACCAAGGCGCUUGAGAGAACUCGGGUGAAGGAACUAGGCAAAAUGGUGCCGUAACUUCGGGAGAAGGCACGCUGAUAUGUAGGUGAAGUCCCUUGCGGAUGGAGCUGAAAUCAGUCGAAGAUACCAGCUGGCUGCAACUGUUUAUUAAAAACACAGCACUGUGCAAACACGAAAGUGGACGUAUACGGUGUGACGCCUGCCCGGUGCCGGAAGGUUAAUUGAUGGGGUCAGCGCAAGCGAAGCUCUUGAUCGAAGCCCCGGUAAACGGCGGCCGUAACUAUAACGGUCCUAAGGUAGCGAAAUUCCUUGUCGGGUAAGUUCCGACCUGCACGAAUGGCGUAAUGAUGGCCAGGCUGUCUCCACCCGAGACUCAGUGAAAUUGAACUCGCUGUGAAGAUGCAGUGUACCCGCGGCAAGACGGAAAGACCCCGUGAACCUUUACUAUAGCUUGACACUGAACAUUGAGCCUUGAUGUGUAGGAUAGGUGGGAGGCUUUGAAGUGUGGACGCCAGUCUGCAUGGAGCCGGCCUUGAAAUACCACCCUUUAAUGUUUGAUGUUCUAACGUGGACCCGUGAUCCGGGUUGCGGACAGUGUCUGGUGGGUAGUUUGACUGGGGCGGUCUCCUCCUAAAGAGUAACGGAGGAGCACGAAGGUUGGCUAAUCCUGGUCGGACAUCAGGAGGUUAGUGCAAUGGCAUAAGCCAGCUUGACUGCGAGCGUGACGGCGCGAGCAGGUGCGAAAGCAGGUCAUAGUGAUCCGGUGGUUCUGAAUGGAAGGGCCAUCGCUCAACGGAUAAAAGGUACUCCGGGGAUAACAGGCUGAUACCGCCCAAGAGUUCAUAUCGACGGCGGUGUUUGGCACCUCGAUGUCGGCUCAUCACAUCCUGGGGCUGAAGUAGGUCCCAAGGGUAUGGCUGUUCGCCAUUUAAAGUGGUACGCGAGCUGGGUUUAGAACGUCGUGAGACAGUUCGGUCCCUAUCUGCCGUGGGCGCUGGAGAACUGAGGGGGGCUGCUCCUAGUACGAGAGGACCGGAGUGGACGCAUCACUGGUGUUCGGGUUGUCAUGCCAAUGGCACUGCCCGGUAGCUAAAUGCGGAAGAGAUAAGUGCUGAAAGCAUCUAAGCACGAAACUUGCCCCGAGAUGAGUUCUCCCUGACCCUUUAAGGGUCCUGAAGGAACGUUGAAGACGACGACGUUGAUAGGCCGGGUGUGUAAGCGCAGCGAUGCGUUGAGCUAACCGGUACUAAUGAACCGUGAGG
rnacentral:rRNA from 1 species